GAGCAACUCACACAAAAGGACUCUCAGACCCAGGGGAAUAUAAUACAUCCAGCCUCAACUUCCCCUGUACAAAAUGAAGUUUAUUUUCUACCUAAGAGGACUUUUUGAACCUUUGAUUUCUCCCCAGCCUGAAGAAGGGUGAAUGUUCCUGAAAGCUUGCAAAGAAAGUUUUUUUUUUUUGCUAUGUUUUAGUUGGUCUAAUAAAAGGUAUCACAUCUAAACUAAGAGUUUUAGAGUUUUGUAUUUCUCUUUGUCUCAGACCAACAUGGCUACAGAAUAGAUCCCUUAUACCUACAGGGCACUUCAAAGGUGGUAGCUGCAGCCCCUUGCUGGGGAAGCAUUUAAAGCUCAGGGGCCAGUCAGGAGGAUGUCAGCUGCAAAGGCUGUGGAGGUGGACUGGGAUUCUCCAGCCUUGAAGCUGACAAGGAGAGGCUUUUGCUUUAUGACUCAGCCAGACCAUCUCUCUGGAGGGGGCAGGGAGCUGGAGCAAUGUACGCUGGAAGUCUGGAGGGCAAAGCAAGAGCUUCUGUCAGAAGGCUCCAGAUGCCAAUGGGUGAAACUCCACAUGAGGAGUCUGCAGCAGGGGAGUGGAGGACAGUUGCCUAUGGAUCUAGGUGACGGGGCCCGGUGUCUGCUUCCCCAUUGCAUGUGGGGAACAGAUAUGGGGCCCUGACAACCAUGGAGGACACAGAGGAGGAGCAUUUUCCUGCAGAGGUGGUGGUCCCUGUAGCUUCUACUGGGCAGGCUGGGGGAUCACUGCCCAGGCAGAAGAAGAAAUGCUGAGUGAUCAUGGUGUGAGACUUGAUCCUGACAGGCACUGAGAGGCCGAUCUGUUGACUGGAUCCUAUGGUGAGAGAAGUCUCCUGCAUGCAUGAAGCUAAGAUCAGGGACAUCACUGAGGCAAUUCCUGCUCUCAUUAAGCCCUCUGACUAUUACCCCAUGGUCCUCAUCCAUGUGGGAACCAACGAUGCAGCUAGGACCAACCCUGACUGCAUCAUGAAGGACUUCCAUGAACUGGGAGACAGCCUCAAGAAGACUGGAGCACAGGUUGUAUUUUCUUCCAUCCUUCCAGUUGGCUGUAGCCGGAGAUGCCAGGGUGCCCACAUCAAGGAAGCCAACUGGUGGCUUCAGAGCUGGUGUCUUCAGGAGAGCUUCAGAUUCUACAGCCAUGACCAGCACUUCCAGGGAGGAGGCUUCCUGGGAGAUGGUGAUCUUCAUCUCUCUCCCAGAGCUCAAGAAGAAAAAGAAGAAGAAGAAGAAUUAUUUUGAGACAAGAACUGUUUUUCCAGUAAAUGGGAAAUCCCAUGCAACCUGUACUGUGAACCUAGUUAUAUUUGCACAUCUGGCUGUUUCUGUGACAUUGCAAAUGAUCAGCAGAUGUGAAACAGUCAACUCAGAUAUAUAUGUCACCCCACAAGGGUGAAGAUAUUUCUGUUCAUCAGCCAAGGAAAUGGAGGCUCUCUUUCAGGCUAGUUAAAGAGCACAUUUCAUGUCCAUUUUGAAACUCUAUUUUCAAUGGCUUUUUAAAAAGAAUAGACACCCAAUAUACCUUACCACUAUACUUCAGCCCCAGAGUGCUAAUGACCAGUAAACAUGAUCAUUAUUCUUGCUUAAAGUAGAGAAGAUGAAAUCCAAUUAAACUGCUGUACAAAAUAAUUACCCUAACUUCUUGUGAGACAUGCAGGAAUUUCUUCAUUUUACUAACGGAGAAACUGAAAUGAACAUAUAGUGACAUUCCAUCCCACUGUUGAGUAGAAUAAAUAGCAUGCCAGUUUGUAUCAUUUAUAAGUCAUCCUGUUAUCUUUCUGAGUGGCUGCCACACUCUGCAUGAAUCUUCAAUGAGCUUUCCACAGUGAUGCCUAAGCCUGGUUCCUCAGAGAACCCUACUGAUUAGGAGACCUUUGGCCAAUAAAAAGUUUGAAAAUACGCUUCAAUGUGCAAUGGAAUACAUUUGUCAAAGUGAAACUUAAUCUACCAUCUUGCUGUCUUGCCCCCACUGUGUACAAAUCUAUCUGGGAUUUCUCAUAAUCCUCUUCAAGGACUUGUACAUUUACUAGGGAUUACUGACAUGGAUAUGCUGUUUGACAGCCAACUGUGGCAUUGUAAUGACAUCUCAGACUAGAUUUAAUGCGUAUUUGGUGGUAAAAAUGGAUGAAUAAUACUUACUGAAUUAUUAAUUUGAUGAAUUCUGUAAUAGUAUUUUAAAUAAAUGAUUUAAACUUUUUUUUUUACAUUCUUCAGGCUUAAAGAACUGGAUGAGUCUAGUGAUUCACAAAGAGCAAAAUUGGUAUUAUAGAAACAGAUUGAAUUUGAAAAGACAAACUGAGAAAACUGAUAAGCUUGGAUAGGAAUCAAAGAAAAACAAGUUGUGCUGUAUCCUGAUUUGACUUCAGGGAAUUAAUACUGAACUCUUUCCUGAGAUUUCAACUCAAAUGGAUAGAACCAUAUAUCUGUGAAAUAAGUGGGCUCUGCUUAGUCAGCACAAAGAGUUCAAGCAAAGAAUAGCCCUCUCGCCUUGUAACAUUAACCAAUUUAUUUUAUCUCCUAUUAAAAUUCCCUUGUUAUUAAAGUUCAAAUGGAUGGCAUGCUAUUUCUUGUGAAUGUUUGAUUAUUAACAACAGGUAAGGCAAACCAAUUCCCAGCUUCAGAGAAAUAGGAUUUGAUAUUAUUGAAUCUCAGUAUAUUUUGAGUGAUGUAUAAAGCUGCUGCUACUUUUUCAUUAGGAACUAGUUAUC